UACGAAGGGGGCUAGCGUUGCUCGGAAUCACUGGGCGUAAAGGGUGCGUAGGCGGCUUUUUAAGUCUGGGGUGAAAUCCUGGAGCUCAACUCCAGAACUGCCUUUGAUACUGAAGAUCUUGAGUUCGGGAGAGGUGAGUGGAACUGCGAGUGUAGAGGUGAAAUUCGUAGAUAUUCGCAAGAACACCAGUGGCGAAGGCGGCUCACUGGCCCGAUACUGACGCUGAGGCACGAAAGCGUGGGGAGCAAACAGG
rnacentral:rRNA from 1 species